UACGUAGGGGGCAAGCGUUGUCCGGAAUUAUUGGGCGUAAAGCGCGCGCAGGCGGUUCUUUAAGUCUGGUGUCUAAGUGCGGGGCUCAACCCCCGUGAUGCACUGGAAACUGGGGAACUUGAGUGCAGAAGAGGAGAGCGGAAUUCCACGUGUAGCGGUGAAAUGCGUAGAUAUCUGGAGGAACACCGGUGGCGGAAGGCGGCGUUCUGGACUGUUACUGACACUGAGGAACGAAAGCCAGGGGAGCAAAGCGGG
rnacentral:rRNA from 1 species